rnacentral:rRNA from 1 species
UACGAAGGGGGGCUAGCGUUGCUCGGAAUCACUGGGCGUAAAGCGCACGUAGGCGGAUUGCUAAGUCAGGGGUGAAAUCCUGGAGCUCAACUCCAGAACUGCCUUUGAUACUGGGGAUCUCGAGUCCGGGAGAGGUGAGUGGAACUGCGAGUGUAGAGGUGAAAUUCGUAGAUAUUCGCAAGAACACCAGUGGCGAAGGCGGCUCACUGGCCCGAUACUGACGCUGAGGUGCGAAAGCGUGGGGAGCAAACAGG